UGAGCAUAGGUCCUCACACAGGCCAGUACUCUGCCUCUGAGCCAUACUCGGUCCUCAUCUUCCCUGGUAAUUUUGCCACUCUUGCAAUCAAAGUUUGGCCUGAUUUUUGAGCACAAUUUGUCCUUUAGCUACGGAAGAUGAGGAUCACUUUGAACAUUGCUAUGCAGGCCCUGUGGCUUUCACAAUGUGCCCUGAUGUGAUACUAGGCAGAUAUAAAAGCUUGCUACUUUUUUUUUCCUUCUAGGUUUCUAUGGUAGGUGACAAUAGACAACCAACUCGGCCGUCCCUAUGGUUACCGCUGUCCCUGUAUCUUUCAGAUGCCAGAGCUGUUGAAUAAGCAUAGCAUCUCCUCUGUCUCCCAACCCAGUCUAUAGGCUGCAGAUGCCAUGUGACCGGCUGCCUCGCCCCUGCCGCAUGCCCUCACUGCUGUGAUGGACUCCACCUUCAAACUGGAAGCAGAAAUAAGCCCUGCCUUAGGUUGCUUUUGUAAAGAGCCAGGCCAUGGAGAAGUGGGGGUGUCUCCUGGAUGUAGAGCUUCAGUCCUGCAGGAUGGGAAGGUUCUGGUGCUCCACAGCAACGUGCAUGUCCCUAAUGCUGCUGAACUACAUACUUUAAAAUGGCUAAGAAG